rnacentral:lncRNA from 1 species
GGAGCCGGAGCCGGAGCCUGAGUCGGAGCCGGCGGGGAGGAAGAGGCGGCGGCGGCGGCGGCGACGACGGAGGUUUAAACAGACCACAGGUCGGGUCGGGCCGAGCAAGCAGACUCUGAGGAAGAGGAGGAGGAGCGUCGGUAACGGCGGCGGCGGAGGCGGCGGCCCCCCACCCCAGCUAUGAGGAGGAGGGCGGCGGCAGCGGCGGGGGUGGGGGCUGCGGGGCCCCACUGGUGAUCGCCCGGACCCUGAGCUGGGAGCCAAAGGAUCUAAGCUGGAAGGAACCUUCCCACAGAAUGCCUUCUCCACCAAAGAGCGACCUACAGGCUACAAAGAUGAGAGCCGCACGAGGACUUUGGAAACCACUAACAUUUCAGUAGCUGGGAGUUUGUGGGUGACGUUUUCCCCUUCACCCCACCCACUGCCUCUGCCUUGGGCCGCGAUGCUGUAUUGAUUGCAGAAGAACCACACUUUGACCUUGAGUUUCGGUGGAUUGGGGUUUUGUAUGGCAGCAGCGUAACCGUGGAGA